rnacentral:RNase_P_RNA from 1 species
GAAGUCAUCCAGGCAACCGCGGGCGCCAAUCCGAAAGGUGGCGUCUGAGGAAAGUCCGAGCUCCGUAGGGCAGGGUGCUGGGUAACGCCCAGUGGGAGUGAUCCCAAGGAAAGUGCCACAGAAAUGAGGACCGCCGAUGGCUGCGCAGCAGCACAGGCAAGGGUGGAACGGUGCGGUAAGAGCGCACCAGCGCUUGGGUGACCAAGCGGCUAGGUAAACCCCACCUGGAGCAAGACCGUAUAGGGACGUGAUACCGUGGCCCGCGGUACGUCCGGGUAGGUCGCUAGAGCUGCACGGCAACGUGCAGUCGAGAUGGAUGGUUGCCCCCUCACACUUGAGGGACAGAACUCGGCUUAUCGGGUGACUUCAUCA